CCAUAUCAGGUUGAAGCACAGGUUCUCAUACGAUCACCGAAGCUUAUGCAACACCGAGCCUGGCCAGUACAAAGGUGGGUGGCCACUUGGGAAUACCAGGUGCC